GUGCUUGCUUCGGCAGCACAUACGCAAAUUCACAACUGUAACUAUACGGAGAAGAUUGGCACGGCCCCUGCGCUAGGGUGAUACAGGCUUCAAUAUCAGACGGUUUCUCUUAUG
rnacentral:snRNA from 1 species